AACAGGAUUAGAUACCCUGGUAGUCCACGCCGUAAACGAUGUCGACUUGGAGGUUGUACCCUUGAGGCGUGGCUUCCGGAGCUAACGCGUUAAGUCGACCGCCUGGGGAGUACGGCCGCAAGGUUAAAACUCAAAUGAAUUGACGGGGGCCCGCACAAGCGGUGGAGCAUGUGGUUUAAUUCGAUGCAACGCGAAGAACCUUACCUACUCUUGACAUCCAGAGAACUUUCCAGAGAUGGAUUGGUGCCUUCGGGAACUCUGAGACAGGUGCUGCAUGGCUGUCGUCAGCUCGUGUUGUGAAAUGUUGGGUUAAGUCCCGCAACGAGCGCAACCCUUAUCCUUUGUUGCCAGCGAUUCGGUCGGGAACUCAAAGGAGACUGCCAGUGAUAAACUGGAGGAAGGUGGGGAUGACGUCAAGUCAUCAUGGCCCUUACGAGUAGGGCUACACACGUGCUACAAUGGCAUAUACAAAGAGAAGCGACCUCGCGAGAGCAAGCGGACCUCAUAAAGUGCGUCGCAGUCCGGAUUGGAGUCUGCAACUCGACUCCAUGAAGUCGGAAUCGCUAGUAAUCGUGGAUCAGAAUGCCACGGUGAAUACGUUCCCGGGCCUUGUACACACCGCCCGUCACACCAUGGGAGUGGGUUGCAAAAGAAGUAGGUAGCUUAACCUUCGGGAGGGCGCUUACCACUUUGUGAUUCAUGACUGGGGUGAAGUCGUAACAAGGUAACC
rnacentral:rRNA from 1 species